UACGGAGGGUGCGAGCGUUGUCCGGAAUCACUGGGCGUAAGGGCGCGUAGGGGGCGCAGGGAGUCAACGGUGAAAGUUCGGGGCUCAACCCUGAAUCGGCCGUCGAUACUCCUGGGCUCGAGCACUGUAGAGGCAGAUGGAAUUCCGGGUGUAGCGGUGGAAUGCGUAGAGAUCGGGAAGAACACCAGUGGCGAAGGCGGCCGGCUGGGGGUGGCCUGACGCUGAGGCGCGAGAGCGUGGGGAGCGAACCGG
rnacentral:rRNA from 1 species